CUCUAGACGUGAACCCUUUUCCCAUUCUCAUUCUCCUCUCGUUCGUUUUUCUCUUUUUCUUCCCAGGAUUCAUCCAUAGAUCGUUGCUAGAUCCAGCAAGUGAGAAGGACGUGGUGAGUAGUAUUUGCGGCAGAGUGUCGUGGUUGCAGGCUCUCGGCGGCGGCCGGUCCUCCAGCUCGACUACACGUGCCUGCUGCUCACCCGCUGCCGUCGAUUGGAUGGCCGUGGAGUUCGCUCCCCUUGAACCUAAGCGGCGACUCUCCUCCAAGUAAUCUCUCCUCUUCCCCUCCUUCUCCUUCCUUCCCAGAUGCUUGGUCUGCUAGGAUCCAGCAAUUGCGUGGAUUUUGAAUUCUUCAUGAGAAAUCGGCUCGUGGUCUCCUGUUAUCCCCUGCCUGCAGCUCGUGGAGAUUUUUUUCUGGUGGAGAUAAGGAGAUGCUUAUGGUCUAUUGACCUUGUUUUUUUUAUCUUGCAUGGUUUCUUCUUACUCAUAAUUUUCAUGCUCGCAAGACGGAGAGGGUGUUCUCCGGUGAGGUACUACUCAGAAGCCGGGAAGGGCAAAUGUAGAGAUGACCAAUAUGCGCAUGGAGUUUUUUUAGGAUCAAGCGAGCGAAGACUUGCCUCAAUUUAUCUUUCAGCCUUUCACACUACUGUCAUGGUAGUGUGUGGAUGCAUGGAAAAACAUGGUUAAAAGAGUUUUGACAUAGAAGAUUAGAAGCAAGGUUGAGCUGAGAUCAAAUGCUGACACACAUGAGGAUUGCAUGUGGAUAUUACCUGAGGUUGAUGGUGUUGAUGUCGUUUCUUUGUGCCUUCGAUCAUUUGGGCGUCGCGGGCGUAUAUUGGAUGCAAGUUGCUAGAGUUGUUUCCAUGCCUUCGAUUUGUCGGCCGUCUUUGUGUGUUCGAUCGUCCUAACAUCUUGAUAAAAGAGCUAUUAAGAAAGUACAUCAUGGGUCAGACCCAAGAGUUGAACGUCGUCUUGUAAAACUACUGUUGAAUGAUGACUAUGUUAUAUAAAUAGAAGGGAUGAGCGUGUGACC